UACAGAGGGGGCAAGCGUUGUUCGGAAUUACUGGGCGUAAAGGGCGCGUAGGCGGCCUUCUAAGUCGAACGUGAAAUCCCCGGGCUCAACCCGGGAACUGCGUCCGAUACUGGAAGGCUUGAAUUCGGGAGAGGGAUGCGGAAUUCCAGGUGUAGCGGUGAAAUGCGUAGAUAUGACAUAGAACACCAAUUGCGAAGGCAGCUGGCUACACGAAUAUUGACACUGAUGCACGAAAGCGUGGGGAUCAAACAGG
rnacentral:rRNA from 1 species